rnacentral:lncRNA from 1 species
GACUCUAAUCUGGUUGUGAACAACGCUGAAGAGGAAAGCAAGGAAGACUAUGUCAAGACAUGACAGGAAUUACUCCGCAGUUACAUCUAGACUUAUGAACUUUUGCUCUGAUACCACCUUUGUCACGACCCGUUUCCGUGGGCCGGACCGGCACUAGGGCCCAGGUAAGCUUAAGGCCCCCGAGGCCCGUAGUAAGCCUAAAU